GUGGGGAAUCUUGCGCAAUGGGCGAAAGCCUGACGCAGCCAUGCCGCGUGGAUGAUGAAGGUCUUAGGAUUGUAAAAUCCUUUCACCGGUGAAGAUAAUGACUGUAGCCGGAGAAGAAGCCCCGGCUAACUUCGUGCCAGCAGCCGCGGUAAUACGAAGGGGGCUAGCGUUGCUCGGAAUUACUGGGCGUAAAGGGAGCGUAGGCGGACAUUUAAGUCAGGGGUGAAAUCCCGAGGCUCAACCUCGGAACUGCCUUUGAUACUGGGUGUCUUGAGUGUGAGAGAGGUGAGUGGAACUCCGAGUGUAGAGGUGAAAUUCGUAGAUAUUCGGAAGAACACCAGUGGCGAAGGCGGCCAACUGGUCCGAUACUGACGCUGAGGUGCGAAAGCGUGGGGAGCAAACAGGAUUAGAAACCCUUGUAGUCC
rnacentral:rRNA from 1 species